AUUGAACGCUGGCGGCAUGCCUUACACAUGCAAGUCGAACGGCAGCGGACCUUCGGGUGCCGGCGAGUGGCGAACGGGUGAGUAAUAUAUCGGAACGUACCUUUCAGUGGGGGAUAACGUAGCGAAAGUUACGCUAAUACCGCAUAUUCUGUGAGCAGGAAAGCAGGGGAUCGCAAGACCUUGCGCUGAUUGAGCGGCCGAUAUCAGAUUAGCUAGUUGGUGAGGUAAAGGCUCACCAAGGCGACGAUCUGUAGCGGGUCUGAGAGGAUGAUCCGCCACACUGGAACUGAGACACGGUCCAGACUCCUACGGGAGGCAGCAGUGGGGAAUUUUGGACAAUGGGCGCAAGCCUGAUCCAGCCAUGCCGCGUGAGUGAAGAAGGCCUCGGUUGGUAAGACGU
rnacentral:rRNA from 1 species